GGUAAAGUGAACAAUAAAUUACAGCUUUUGCAGCAACAAAAUGCAACAACCGGAUCUGAGCCUUAAAAGUAAAAACUCCAAUUCGAUGCUCGAGAAAGAAUCUAUCAAGGAUAUUUUGAUGUAUUGCUUUUUCUUAUAACACUACACAGACACCAACACUUUAUCAAAUAAUACUGCAGCCUGCGACAGAGCCAAAUAUGCUCUAAAAUUACAAGCAAGCUAUACCUUGUCACAGGCAGCGUUUGGCUAGGGGAUAGGAAUAGGAAUAGGUCCUUAUCCUCCCUUUAUAUCCAAAUGCUAAUUUUUUAUCCGAGAAUAGUAGUUCUCGGUUAUUCCCACUAACACCUUCAUUUUCUAUAUAAAACUAUCUAAAAUUGUUCUUAUCCCCGGGAACAACCCAUUUUUCAUCCAAACACUGUUUUUCUUAUCCCCAUACUUGUACCUAUCCCUAUAAUAGCUAGUUCUUGCUUAUACCCGAACCAAACAGUACCUGAAAUUAUAGGCCUAACAUCAAUUCGUAUUUUUUUCAUGUGCGAUUUUGCUUUUGGUAUAGUAUUGUUCGAUAAAGUACUGUUUGAGUAACACUAUUAAGAGAAGUACUAUAUAGAAUCCUUCCAACA
rnacentral:lncRNA from 1 species